rnacentral:rRNA from 1 species
AGAGUUUGAUCAUGGCUCAGAAUGAACGCUGGCGGCAGGCCUAACACAUGCAAGUCGAACGGAAACGACAAGAACAAACUCUUCGGAGGGCGAUCUUGGGCGUCGAGUGGCGGACGGGUGAGUAACGCGUGGGAAUCUACCCUUUAGUUGGGGACAACAUAUGGAAACGUAUGCUAAUACCGAAUAUGCUCUACGGAGUAAAGGUGGCCUCUACUUGUAAGCUAUCGCUAAAGGAUGAGCCCGCGUUAGAUUAGCUAGUUGGUGGGGUAAAGGCCUACCAAGGCGACGAUCUAUAGCUGGUUUGAGAGGAUGAUCAGCCACACUGGGACUGAGACACGGCCCAGACUCCUACGGGAGGCAGCAGUGGGGAAUAUUGCACAAUGAGGGAAACCUUGAUGCAGCCAUGCCGCGUGUGUGAAGAAGGCCCGAGGGUUGUAAAGCACUUUCAAUUGUGAGGAAAGGUUAGUCGCUAAUAUCGGCUAGCUGUGACGUUAACUUUAGAAGAAGCACCGGCUAACUCUGUGCCAGCAGCCGCGGUAAUACAGAGGGUGCAAGCGUUAUUCGGAAUUACUGGGCGUAAAGCGCGCGUAGGCGGACUGUUAAGUCGGUUGUGAGAGCCCUGGGCUCAACCUAGGAAUUGCAUCCGAUACUGGCAAUCUAGAGUUUAGGAGAGGGAAGUGGAAUUCCUGGUGUAGCAGUGAAAUGCGUAGAUAUCAGGAGGAACAUCAGUGGCGAAGGCGACUUCCUGGCCUAAAACUGACGCUGAGGUGCGAAAGCGUGGGUAGCGAACGGGAUUAG